AUUGAACGCUGGCGGCAUGCUUUACACAUGCAAGUCGAACGGUAACAGGCCUUCGGGCGCUGACGAGUGGCGAACGGGUGAGUAAUGCAUCGGAACGUGCCCAGUCGUGGGGGAUAACGCAGCGAAAGCUGUGCUAAUACCGCAUACGACCUGCGGAUGAAAGCGGGGGACCUUCGGGCCUCGCGCGAUUGGAGCGGCCGAUGUCAGAUUAGGUAGUUGGUGGGGUAAAGGCUCACCAAGCCAACGAUCUGUAGCUGGUCUGAGAGGACGACCAGCCACACUGGGACUGAGACACGGCGCAGACUCCUACGUGAGGCAGCAGUGGGGAAUUUUGGACAAUGGGCGCAAGCCUGAUCCAGCAAUGCCGCGUGCAGGAAGAAGGCCUUCGGGUUGUAAACUGCUUUUGUACGGAGCGAAAAGGCUCCCUCUAAUACAGGGGGCUCAUGACGGUACCGUAAGAAUAAGCACCGGCUAACUACGUGCCAGCCGCCGCCGUAAAAC
rnacentral:rRNA from 1 species